AUUGAACGCUAGCGGGAUGCCUUACACAUGCAAGUCGAACGGAGUGGCGAACGGGUGAGUAAUGUAUCGGAAUGUGCCCAGUAGCGGGGGAUAACUACGCGAAAGCGAAGCUAAUACUGAAUACUAUUGGAGCGGCCGAUACCGGAUUAGCUAGUUGGUGGGGGGACGGCUCACCAAGGCGACGAUCCGUAGCUGGUUUGAGAGGACGACCAGCCACACUGGGACUGAGACACGGCCCAGACUCCUACGGGAGGCAGCAGUGGGGAAUUUUGGACAAUGGGUGAAACCCUGAUCCAGCCAUCCCGCGUGUGCGAUGAAGGCCUUCGGAUUGUAAAGCACUUUUGGCAGGGAAGCGGUACCUGCAGAAUAAGCACCGGCUAACUACGUGCCAGCCGCCGCGGUAAUUC
rnacentral:rRNA from 1 species